GAGGAUAACAGUUGGAAACGACUGCUAAGACUGGAUAGGAGAUAAGAAGGCAUCUUUUUAUUUUUAAAAGACCUAGCAAUAGGUAUGCUUAGGGAAGAGCUUGCGUCACAUUAGUUAGUUGGUGGGGUAAUGGCCUACCAAGACGAUGAUGUGUAGCCGGGCUGAGAGGUCGAACGGCCACAUUGGGACUGAGACACGGCCCAAACUCCUACGGGAGGCAGCAGUAAGGAAUUUUCGGCAAUGGAGGAAACUCUGACCGAGCAAUGCCGCGUGAACGAUGAAGUAUUUCGGUACGUAAAGUUCUUUUAUUAGGGAAGAAAAGAUGGUGGAAAAACCAUUAUGACGGUACCUAAUGAAUAAGCCCCGGCUAACUAUGUGCCAGCAGCCGCGGUAAUACAUAGGGGGCAAGCGUUAUCCGGAAUUAUUGGGCGUAAAGGGUGCGUAGGCGGUUAAAUAAGUUUAUGGUCUAAGUGCAACGCUCAACGUUGUGAUGCUAUAAAAACUGUUUAGCUAGAGUUGGAUAGAGGCAAGUGGAAUUCCGUGUGUAGUGGUAAAAUGCGUAAAUAUACGGAGGAACACCAGAAGCGAAGGCGGCUUGCUGGGUCUUAACUGACGCUGAGGCACGAAAGCGUGGGGAGCAAACAGGAUUAGAUACCCUGGUAGUCCACGCCCUAAACGAUGAGUACUAAACGUUGGAUAAAACCAGUGUUGAAGUUAACACAUUAAGUACUCCGCCUGAGUAGUACGUACGCAAGUAUGAAACUUAAAGGAAUUGACGGGACUCCGCACAAGCGGUGGAUCAUGUUGUUUAAUUCGAAGGUACCCGAAAAACCUCACCAGGUCUUGACAUGCUUUUGCAAAGCUGUAGAAAUACAGUGGAGGUUAUCAGAAGCACAGGUGGUGCAUGGUUGUCGUCAGCUCGUGUCGUGAGAUGUUGGGUUAAGUCCCGCAACGAGCGCAACCCUUGUUGUUAAUUGCCAUCAUUAAGUUGGGGACUUUAGCAAGACUGCCAAUGAUAAAUUGGAGGAAGGUGGGGACGACGUCAAAUCAUCAUGCCCCUUAUGACCUGGGCUACAAACGUGAUACAAUGGCUGUUACAAAGGGUAGCUAAAGCGUAAGCUUCUGGCGAAUCUCAAAAAAGCAGUCUCAGUUCGGAUUGAAGUCUGCAACUCGACUUCAUGAAGUUGGAAUCGCUAGUAAUCGCGAAUCAGCAUGUCGCGGUGAAUACGUUCUCGGGGUUUGUACACACCGCCCGUCAAACCACGAAAGUUGGCAAUACCCAAAGCCGGUGGCCUAACUUGAGCAAUCAAGAAGGAGCCGUCUAAGGUAGGGUUGAUGAUUGGGGUUAAGUCGUAACAAGGUAUCCCUACCGGAAGGUGGGGAUGGAUCACCUCCUUUCU
rnacentral:rRNA from 1 species